rnacentral:rRNA from 1 species
GAUGAACGCUGGCGGCGUGCCUAAUACAUGCAAGUCGAGCGAACAGAUAAGGAGCUUGCUCCUUUGACGUUAGCGGCGGACGGGUGAGUAACACGUGGGUAACCUACCUAUAAGACUGGAAUAACUCCGGGAAACCGGGGCUAAUGCCGGAUAACAUUUAGAACCGCAUGGUUCUAAAGUGAAAGAUGGUUUUGCUAUCACUAAUAGAUGAACCCGCGCCGUAUUAGCUAGUUGGUAAGGUAACGGCUUACCAAGGCAACGAUACGUAGCCGACCUGAGAGCGUGAUCGGCCACACUGGAACUGAGACACGGUCCAGACUCCUACGGGAGGCAGCAGUAGGGAAUCUUCCGCAAUGGGCGAAAGCCUGACGGAGCAACGCCGCGUGAGUGAUGAAGGUCUUCGGAUCGUAAAACUCUGUUAUUAGUGAAGAACAAAUGUGUAAGUAACUAUGCACGUCUUGACGGUACCUAAUCAGAAAGCCACGGCUAACUCCGUG